rnacentral:rRNA from 1 species
CCUACGGGAGGCAGCAGUAAGGAAUAUUGGACAAUGGAGGCAACUCUGAUCCAGCCAUGCCGCGUGAAGGAAGACGGCCUUAUGGGUUGUAAACUUCUUUUAUACAGGAAGAAACCUUUCCACGUGUGGAAAGCUGACGGUACUGUAAGAAUAAGGAUCGGCUAACUCCGUGCCAGCAGCCGCGGUAAUACGGAGGAUCCAAGCGUUAUCCGGAAUUAUUGGGUUUAAAGGGUCCGCAGGCUGUUUGUUAAGUCAGAGGUGAAAUCCUACCGCUCAACGGUAGAACUGCCUUUGAUACUGGCAAACUUGAGUUAUUGUGAAGUAGUUAGAAUGUGUAGUGUAGCGGUGAAAUGCAUAGAUAUUACACAGAAUACCGAUUGCGAAAGCAGACUACUAACAAUAUACUGACGCUGAGGGACGAAAGCGUGGGUAGCGAACAGGAUUAGAUACCCUGGUAGUCCACGCCGUAAACGAUGGUCACUAGCUGUUUGAUGUACAUUGGUACAUUGAGUGGCUAAGCGAAAGUGAUAAGUGACCCACCUGGGGAGUACGCUCGCAAGAGUGAAACUCAAAGGAAUUGACGG